GCCGCGUCUUCAUUCAAACAAUAGUCGCUGGAGUUCCUCUUUUGACAUUCAUUUGCGCUGCCAGGAAUUUGCGAUCGGGAGAUUUUCAGUCAUUGUAUAGAUGAACAUUUGGAUAAAAUACAUGCAUGCUUGUUGGUGCUUCCUGGUGAAAGGGUUGAAGGCCUGAUUUCUCCUACAGGGAACCGACAUCUCUACAAGGGCGAAUAAUUUAAAAGGUGGGGGAAGCUUGUGAGGUGGGCCACAACAUGGAGGAAGCACAUUUACUACAUGCUCAACAAGGAAUUCCAAUAUCGGAAUAUGGGGUAAGUUGUUAAAAUUUCUCUGGUUGGUUUUCUGAACUGCUGGUACCAAUAUAGGAAUAUCAGUUUAAUUCAUAAUAUUGUUUCAGGCAUCAGAAAAAUCAGCACAAGCCUAUAAAUGGGCUGAACCCCAAUUGGAAACAGUUAAAGUUGAGAGUUAAUUGCUACAGAUUUGUUGUUUCUUUCUUUUACUAAAUAUGCUCGUAUUAUGGUUGUAGUAUAGAUAAUUUUUUACUUUUUGAAGAAAUGCAGUAUUGUAGGAUUAGUUUGAAAAGCUUUCAGCAGGGUCCUAGAAUUUGUAGUAUAGAUAUUUUUUUACUUUAUUGUGGAUGGAACACUUACUGGAAAGCACGCUGAUUAGACAUGUGAGCCAUUGUGUUUUAGUAC